GCCUUGCCAGUCUGAGAAGGUGACUAAGGACGAGCCUCUUCUAGCUUCCAGCUUCCAAUGAUGUAAUCCUUGGGGCUGAAUAUUGAGGUCACAGAAGGAUGAGUAGUGGAGGACAGGAGACUUUUAGAAGCAAUCUGAAUAUAUAGUAUACUUCCUAUCCUGAGGUCAUAUGAGGGGCUAUUUCCACUAUUCUGAGAAGGUAUGUGGAUAGAAGAUUUACCAGGCUACGAAAAGGAUCCAUGAAGAUUAAGAAUCUCUGGUCUGAAGUUACAUUCAUGAUUGUUUGCUUUCUUGGGGAGAGGAGAGCAGCUAUACGAGACAGAUGUCAGGAUGAUAUAAUAAACAGCAAUGCCAAAACUAAUGAAUUAAGGGAAAGGAGAACCACAUGCAGAGAUUUUCAGAUGAAAUCAGGUAAUGACAGGAAAGAAAAAUGAGACUGCAUUAAAAAUGGCUUGAGAGUCCAAGAUUCAAGGUGUGGAGAGACUCAGAGGAGGAGAAAUUUCAACUGUAUACUGCAUUCGUCUUACAUAUAUAUGCAUUGGAGCCUGAUGUACUGACUUGU